CUGCGAGUGAAGAGGGAAAAGCUCAAAUUUGAAAUCGGACACUAAGGCUGUCCGAGUUGUAAUCUAGAGAAGUGCACGUACUGGACCGUGUAUAAGUCCUUUGGAACAAGGCGUCAUAGAGGGUGAGAAUCCCGUCUACGACACGGACUCCCAGUGCUCUGUGAUACACUCUCAACGAGUCGAGUUGUUUGGGAAUGCAGCUCAAAAUGGGUGGUAAAUUCCAUCUAAAGCUAAAUACAGGCGAAAGACCGAUAGCGAACAAGUACCGUGAGGGAAAGAUGAAAAGCACUUUGGAAAGAGAGUUAAACAGUACGUGAAAUUGUUGAAAGGGAAACGCUUGAAGUCAGUCGCGUCUUCAGAAACUCAGCCUGGCUUCUGCCUGGUGUACUUUUCUGUUGGACGGGCCAGCAUCAGUUUCGGCCGCCAGAAAAAGGUGGGAGGAAGGUGGCACCUUCUAGGUGUGUUAUAGCCUCUCAUCGUAUGUGGUGGCUGGGACUGAGGACCGCAGCACGCCUCUAAUGGCCGGGGUUCGCCCACGUAACGUGCUUAGGAUGCUGGCGUAAUGGCUUUAAACGACCCGUCUUGAAACACGGACCAAGGAGUCUAACAUGCCUGCGAGUAUUUGGGUGGUAAACCCAUAUGCGGAAUGAAAGUGAACAGUUGGGACUUCUGUCAUGGAAGGCACCGACGCCCGGACCAGACCUAUUGUGACGGAUCCGAGGUAGAGCAUGUAUGUUGGGACCCGAAAGAUGGUGAACUUUGCCUGAGUAGGGUGAAGCCAGAGGAAACUCUGGUGGAGGCUCUACGAUUCUGACGUGCAAAUCGAUCGUCGAACUUGGGUAUAGGGGCGAAAGAC
rnacentral:rRNA from 1 species